rnacentral:rRNA from 1 species
CCUACGGGAGGCAGCAGUGGGGAAUAUUGCACAAUGGGCGCAAGCCUGAUGCAGCGACGCCGCGUGAGGGAUGGAGGCCUUCGGGUUGUAAACCUCUUUUGUUAGGGAGCAAGGCAUUUUUUGUUGAGUGUACCUUUCGAAUAAGCACCGGCUAACUACGUGCCAGCAGCCGCGGUAAUACGUAGGGGGCAAGCGUUAUCCGGAAUUAUUGGGCGUAAAGGGCUCGUAGGCGGUUCGUCGCGUCCGGUGUGAAAGUCCAUCGCUUAACGGUGGAUCCGCGCCGGGUACGGGCGGGCUUGAGUGCGGUAGGGGAGACUGGAAUUCCCGGUGUAACGGUGGAAUGUGUAGAUAUCGGGAAGAACACCAAUGGCGAAGGCAGGUCUCUGGGCCGUUACUGACGCUGAGGAGCGAAAGCGUGGGGAGCGAACAGGAUUAGAUACCCUGGUAGUCCACGCCGUAAACGGUGGAUGCUGGAUGUGGGGCCCGUUCCACGGGUUCCGUGUCGGAGCUAACGCGUUAAGCAUCCCGCCUGGGGAGUACGGCCGCAAGGCUAAAACUCAAAGAAAUUGACGGGGGCCCGCACAAGCGGCGGAGCAUGCGGAUUAAUUCGAUGCAACGCGAAGAACCUUACCUGGGCUUGACAUGUUCCCGACGAUCCCAGAGAUGGGGUUUCCCUUCGGGGCGGGUUCACAGGUGGUGCAUGGUCGUCGUCAGCUCGUGUCGUGAGAUGUUGGGUUAAGUCCCGCAACGAGCGCAACCCUCGCCCCGUGUUGCCAGCGGAUUGUGCCGGGAACUCACGGGGGACCGCCGGGGUUAACUCGGAGGAAGGUGGGGAUGACGUCAGAUCAUCAUGCCCCUUACGUCCAGGGCUUCACGCAUGCUACAAUGGCCGGUACAACGGGAUGCGACAGUGCGAGCUGGAGCGGAUCCCUGAAAACCGGUCUCAGUUCGGAUCGCAGUCUGCAACUCGACUGCGUGAAGGCGGAGUCGCUAGUAAUCGCGAAUCAGCAACGUCGCGGUGAAUGCGUUCCCGGGCCUUGUACACACCGCCCGUCAAGUCAUGAAAGUGGGCAGCACCCGAAGCCGGUGGCCUAACCCCUUGCGGGAGGGAGCCGUCUAAGGUGAGGCUCGUGAUUGGGACUAAGUCGUAACAAGGUAGCCGUACCGGAAGGUGCGGCUG